rnacentral:rRNA from 1 species
GACAGAGGGGGCAAGCGUUGCUCGGAAUUACUGGGCGUAAAGGGCGCGUAGGCUGUGCGGUACGGUUCGGGUGAAAUCCCUCGGCUCAACCGAGGAACUGCCCGGGCGACGGCCGCGCUGGACUGCAUUAGGGGACGAUGGAACUCCCGGUGGAGCGGUGAAAUGCGUAGAUAUCAGGAGGAACACCGGUGGCGAAGGCGGGUCUCUGGGCCGUAACUGACGCUGAGGAGCGAAAGCGUGGGGAGCGAACAGG